rnacentral:rRNA from 1 species
GUUAUUUAAAAGCUACUUUAGUCUUUAAAAUUCACGAAACCAGUCGAGCUAAAAUACUUCUACACUUUAGAAAUUAUAUAUAAUGUAGAAAAAUUAUAGAACUAGAGUACUUUAGGGGUGAAAGGCCUAACAAGUUUGGGGAUAUCUUGAUAGUUAGGAAAAAUAUGUAGUAUAUAAUCACCCUUAAAAUGUUAAGGUUUUAAGGUAUCAUAAUUUAUAUUUUUUUAUUAAAUUUUAUGUGUAAAUACUAUUAUUUAUAUAUCUUAAAAUAUAAUUUAUUUUUUCAAAUAUGUAUUUUACUAACUUGUCCACAUUAAUUUUUAGUUUAUUAAAAAUGAUAAUAUUAGUACUAUUUACAAAGUAUAAAUAAGGAACUCGGCAACAAAUUUUCUCAACUGUUUAUCAAAAACAUUGCUUUAGGAAAUCAUAUAAGGUAAACCCUGCUCAAUGAUUUUCUAAUUAAAUAGCCGCAGUACCCUGACUGUGCAAAGGUAGCAUAAUCAUUUGGCUUAUAAUUGAAGUCUAGUAUGAAAGGGAUAAUGGGUAAAGACUGUCUUAAAAAUGUAUCUGGAACUUACUUAUUAGGUGAAAAUUCCUAAUCAUAGAAAAAAGACGAGAAGACCCUAGAAAUUUAAUUUAUUUUUUUAUAUAAAAAUUUUGUUGGGGCGACAGGGUAACAAAAAACUUACCUAAAUAUAUAUAAGAACUUUAUAAAUAGUAUAAUAAAAUUACUCUAGGGAUAACAGCAUAAUUCUAUAGAGUUUGUGACCUCGAUGUUGGACUAGGAAAGUCUUUACCUAAAAGGUAAAUGUACCCGCUCUGUUCGAGCCUAUUUUCUCCUACAUGAUCUGAGUUCAGACCGG